rnacentral:rRNA from 1 species
UACGGGGGGGGCAAGCGUUGUUCGGAAUUACUGGGCGUAAAGGGCCAGUAGGCGGCCAACUAAGUCCGACGUGAAAUCCCAAGGCUUAACCUUGGAACUGCGUCGGAUACUGGAUGGCUUGAAUUCGGGAGAGGGAUGCAGAAUUCCAGGUGUAGCGGUGAAAUGCGUAGAUAUCUGGAGGAACACCGAUGGCGAAGGCAAUCCCCUGGACCUGUACUGACGCUCAUGCACGAAAGCGUGGGGAGCAAACAGG